rnacentral:lncRNA from 1 species
GAGCACAAGGGCCAAGGCGAUGUACAAACCAAGGACCAACCAAGACUCGAGCAGCCACCAGCAAGGGGAGGGGUCUGACAGGCUCUCCCUCGUCCUUCGAUGGAGCCACACUGUUAAUGCCCAGUCCUGGACUUCUGACCUGCUGGGGCAGCAAGUGGCACCAGGCUGUCACCCAGGCUAGGCCAGAGAGUGGAUGAAAUUCCUGCAGAUGUCCAGAAAUGCCUCUCCAGGAGGGGUCCCCACUGCGUUGGUGAGGGCACGCUUGCUCCUGUGGGGGUGUGUGACUUGCCACCUCCCCACACCACGGAACUCCUGCUCUGAGGACGGACUCGGGCAUCUGGAGCAUCCAGUCCGAGGACCAGCAGGUCAAAGAUGCGUGUGUGGAAGGGACACUCUGAGCAGUGGGAAAGGCAGAUGGAGCUGCCUGGAGCGCAGGCCCUGAGCCCCGGGUCACACCUGGGGCCUCUGCACACCGGAGCGGCCCCCGUCAGCCACCCUACAACUUGUGGCGGGGGAGCGUGGGCCCCAGGACGGGGAGCUGGCAGGCAGCCUCGCAGUGCUUAGGACAUAGCCUCCCCUUCCCAGCAGGCGAUUCCCACCUCCAGCCGCCAACCAGGGGCACACUUUCAGGCCACUGCUGAUGCCUCCUCACACCAUGGAAGCCUCACCCCCCCCCAUAGCUCCCUUAAGUGGGGCUGGAACGGAGAGGGGGGUCCCACCUGGAGCCCACUAAAUUGCCCUGGUUAAGAAUUUACGCAGGACUUUAAGUCCAGCAAAGCAGAGAGACUGGGGGGGCAGCGCCUGGCUGUGGUGCCUUGUUCUGGACGGGUCCCUUCAGCAGAGGCCACAGUGCUGUGCCCAGAUCCCUGCGUUUAGGGCUGCAGAGGCCGGGCAGGGGCUGCGCUGGGCGAGUCCGCGGCCCUCUCGCUGUUUACCGAUGGCCGGGUGCCCUGCUCGUUCUGCAGAUCUAGAGAUUUUAAUGACAGGCGGUGAAUUUAGACAGUUUUUUUUUUUUCCCCUUUCAGGAAUGUUUUAAGGGAUUGAGAGGAAAUUGUGCACGGAUUUUGCUGUUUUAAGAGCUAAUAUGUGAACAACUUCAGAAGCACGGUGUUGUUUUAGGGCUGCAGUUUACACAGUGAGGGGGACACACAGAGCAGCUUGUCCUGGGCUCUGGAGCCUGUCUCCUUGGGUUCACUCCCUGGGGAAGGGGCUGCCUUCCAGGGGAGCAGAGCUAAAAGGGAGCACCAAGUCUGACCCCAGCUCCCACCACAUCCUGUGCAGGAUGGCUGGGGAGGGACGUGACGCUGGG